rnacentral:rRNA from 1 species
AAACAUAUUCUUUAGGAGUAAUUAAAGAUGUGUCCUGCUCAAUGUUUAAUAAAUGGCCGCGGUAUUUUGACUGUGCAAAGGUAGCAUAAUAAUUAGUCUUGUAAUUUAGGACUGGGAUGAAGGGGUAAACUAGUAAGUUUCUUUCUUAGUUAUUAAUUUUCAAAUUUACCUUUUAGUAAAAAGGCUAAAAUGUCUCUUUUAGACAAGAAGACCCUAUAAAACUUUACAUAAAAUAAUCUAAUAAAUUGAUAAUAUGUUUUACUGGGGCGGUAAAAAGAAAAACGCUUUUAAAUUAUUAUAAAUAGGGUUAUUUUAAUACCCAAAAAUUUUGAACCUUAAAUAAGUUACUUUAGGGAUAACAGCGUGAUAUAUUUUGAGAGCUCAAAUUGACAAAUAUGUUUGCGACCUCGAUGUUGGAUUAAAUUUCCUUUUUUACGCAAGAGUAAUAAUAGGAGGUCUGUUCGACCUAUGAAAAUUUCCAUGAUCUGA